rnacentral:rRNA from 1 species
NAACAGCUCAAAUUUGAAAUCUGGCCUCGUCGGGGCCCGAGUUGUAAUUUGUAGAGGGUGUUUCGGGCGCGAUGCCGGUCUAAGUUCCUUGGAACAGGACGUCGUAGAGGGUGAGAAUCCCGUAUGCGACCGGCGAUCAAGCCCGUGCGAAGCCCCUUCGACGAGUCGAGUUGUUUGGGAAUGCAGCUCAAAAUGGGUGGUAAAUUUCAUCUAAAGCUAAAUACCGGCCAGAGACCGAUAGCGGACAAGUAGAGUGAUCGAAAGAUGAAAAGCACUUUGGAAAGAGAGUCAAACAGUACGUGAAAUUGUUGAAAGGGAAGCGCUUGCAAUCAGACCGGUCCGGAGGCGAUCAGCCGCUGCUUGUCAGCGGUGCACUCGCCUGCGAUCCGGCCAGCAUCGGUUUGGGCGGCGGGACAAAAGUCCCGGGAAUGUAGCUUCUCUCGGGGAGUCUUAUAGCCCGGGUCGCAAUGCCGCCCGCCCGGACCGAGGACCGCGCUUCGGCUAGGAUGCUGGCGUAAUGGUUGCAAGCG